AGCUGAGGGCAGCUUUGGAGGUGUCUGAGCUCUGUGGGCAGAUGUGUUUCGGCAUUGAGGGAAGCGGAGGUGUCUGUUUGAGCUGGUGCAUUGCGUUUUCCUGGACUUGCUGACUUCCUUGAAGAUGGAACCCUGUUUUUUCAGCAGUUUUGCUGAUCUCUCCGCAGCUGACGGGAGGUGCGACGAAGUCAGGAGAGACGCAGCGUAAACCACCCGGGCCUCCGUAUGGCAGUCUGCAGGGCUGGAUGUCAGGUGAGUCUCGUCUCGUAAAGCAUUAGGUACCUUAAAAUAGACCCUCUGGAACUGUGAGGUCUCCACUUCUCCGUGCCUUUUCCUUACUUCAUUCCCGGAGUUAAUUUGUGCAUCCAUGCCUUCACCGUCCAUCGGGAUGUGGCAGUCAUUGUUCCUUAGAGGCAUUGGCUGGGCACUUAGUUCCAGCGUGGGUUUGUGUCACCGUCUUCCGUGGAAUUUCUGGCUGAAGAGGAUGUGUAUUAUGUGUGCCGGUAACAAUCCGCAGCCGGGGGUCUGUCUUUUAUCGCAGUCCCGGGCACGCAAGCUUUUUCUAUUAUUCCAGUUUUGCUUUUUUCCUGAAGUGUCCAGUGAGGUUUGCUCUCGUGUCAGUGCUGGCAGGUAUGUUCUCUUGUUGUUGUUUCUCUAGUGUGUUUUUAGCACCAGCUUGUGUAGUGGUAAGGUGUCCGCUUGGGAUCCUUGAGUCACCACGUCACGCCAUCGUGGUUUCUGCAUUGCCCGGCCGCCGCUGUAAUUCCCUGAGGGGCUUUGUAGGUAAGCGGGCUCGAGGGUCUCGCGCUGUUCGUGCAGCGGACCUCGUUCUCGUGGCUUCACGGGUCAGGCAGUGCGGGUUGCAGCAUGGUAGGGUGUUCUGUCUUUCUGAGCUUUCUAGCUUUUUCAGGUUGUCUGUUUGUCGGUUAUGAUUUUAUUUUUGGCAGGAUGUCUUUUCUUGAUGGCUGUAGCUACGGUCAGGUCUUGUUUUGCCAUGGAAGUCGCUGUGGCUGUCUUUGCUCUUUUUGCCAGCGAUCCUCAGCAGGGUUUUGCCCUGACGGGAGCGGCAGUGCGGACGAUGGGGUGUGGGUCAGUUCUGCAGAGUGGAGGAUGCGUUGUGGGUUAUUGCAGGGCAGAAAGGAGGACCCUGGGCACCACCGACCUGUCAGCCUCACCUCUGUGCUUGGGAAGACCGUGGAACAGCUCCUCCUAGAAGCUCUGCGAAGGCGCGUGGAGGACAGGGAGGUGAUUCGAGACAGCCAGCAUGGCGUCACCCGGGGCAAGUCCUGCCUGACCAACCUAGUGGCCUUGUGUGAUGAGUGACUACACCAGUGGACAAGGGAAGAGCUACGGCUGUUAUCUCUCUGGGCUUCUGUGAGGCCUUUGACAUGGUGUCCCCCGUCCCCCAUCCCUAACAUCCUUUCCUCGAAGUUGCAGAGAGAUGGAGUUGAUGGAUGGACUGUUUUUUUCUUUCUCCACCUCUUUGUCCUGAUCUUUCUUUCUCUCUUUUCCCUCUCAAUCGCUUUGGCUUGUUGCCUUCAUUUCUCCUUCUCUCUUCCUCCUUCCUUAUUUCUCUCACUCUGUUUCUCUCUCGAUCCAUCUGUUCUGCUCCCUGCUCGUCAUUUACUGUCUCUUUCCCUCUGUCCUGUUUCCUGACCCUGGUUUUCUUCCGCUAUGUCCCUGCAGGAUUCCUCGUCCCUCUGAGCAAUUUCUCCCUCUCCCUGUCCUUUUCCCUGCACCUUUCUUUCUCUGCUCCUCAGUCCUUCUCCCUCAUCUUCUUUUUCUCUUGCUGUUCCUCUGUCCUGCUCCCCAUCGCUGUAUUUUCGUUCUCUCUCUGCUGCUCCGGUAACGACUGCCGAGUUGCCCCAGGGGAAGGGUGAGCGUACAGGCACCGAGCCCCAGAGCAGAAUCGCUCCCAGGACUUAGACGCAUUGACGAAUAAAC